CCAGCUCCAAUAGCGUAUAUUAAAGUUGUUGCAGUUAAAAAGCUCGUAGUUGGAUUUCUGGUUUGAGCAUUCGGUCGACCUAGUGUCUGUACUAUGAAUGUUUGGGCCAUAUUUUGUGAGGAUGCCUUUCUGCCAUUGAGUUGGUGGUUGGGUGGACUUGCAUCGUUUACUGUGAAAAAAUUAGAGUGUUUAAAGCAGGCGUUUGCUCAUUUGAAUACAUUAGCAUGGAAUAAUAAGAUACGACCUUGGUCUAUUUUGUUGGUUUGCAACCCAGGGUAAUGAUUAAUAGGGACAGUUGGGGGUAUUCAUAUUUCAACGUCAGAGGUGAAAUUCUUGGAUCGUUGAAAGAUGAGCUUAGGCGAAAGCAUUUACCAAGGAUGUUUUCA
rnacentral:rRNA from 1 species